CUCUCUCUCUCACUCACUCACACACACACACACAUACACACACACACAAAGAACUGUGUGGUCUCUUCAGGAGAAACGAAACUACUACUCUUCAGGAGAAACGAAACUACUACUUGCGUAACUCUCCAUUUCAUCUGGAUAAGAGCAGAUAGAUGCCUGAACAGAAAAUGUCCAGAAAAAAGACGAAACCUCUAGUUACACAGACUCAUUUCAACUGUCCAGUCUGUUUAGAUUUAUUGAAGGAUCCAGUUUCAGUGCAGACAGACCUUCUCCCAAGACCGGUUCUGGGGAAGAACAUCUUGCUGGCAGAGAUGGUGGAGAAGAUGAGGGAGGAAGGUGCCGAAGGAGCGUCUGCACUACGCUGAGCCUGGGGAUGAAGAAUGCAGUGUUUGCAUAGGGAGGAAGCGCAAAGCCACCAUGGCCUGUCUAGAGUGUCUGAAUUCAUACUGCGAGAGCCAUUUCAAAAGUCACAAGGAGCUGUUCUUGACAAAGAAACACAAAACCAUCAAUGCCACUGGACAACUACAGGAGAGAAUCUGUGGCCGUCAUAACAAACUCCUGGAUGUAUUUUGCCGUUCUGAACAGCAGUGUGUCUGUUAUGAAUGUGCACUGGAUGGACACAGGGGUCAUGACACAAUUUCAACUUACAUAGAGAGGGCAGAGAAACAGAAGCAAACAAACUUGGCAAUCACUCAGAGUAUCCAGGAGAAAGAGAAUGAGAUCCAGGAAAUAUCAACAGCUAUGGAAUCUCUCAUGGUCUCCGCGCAGACACUGGUAGAGCAAAACAAGAGCGACUUCACCGCGUUCAUCAACUCCAUUAUGGAAUGGUGCUCUGAGGUGGAGCAGUGCAUCAGAGGGCAGGAGAGAGCUCAGCUGAGUCACGCCAGAAGACAGCUGUCCAACCUGGAGCAAGACAUCGAAGGACUGAAGAGGAGGAAAGCUGAACUGGAGCAACUGUCACACACCGAGGACGAUGUUCAUUUCCUCAAGGGACCGACAUCGUGACCAUCCUCAUGAGGUGCAGCAGCGUGAGUGAUGAAUUUUCCAUCUCUUUACAACCCUCCAGACCAAUCGUCGUUGUGGCUCAGCGAUGGAGAGAAUGGUGUCAAUGCCAUUAAAGCUUAUGGGCCUAGAAUGGAAAACCAUUUGUUAAACUUCUGCAAAAAGCAUCUGGACACAGUAUCACAAAAAGUGAGAAGAGUGACUCUUGAAGGCCUGACGAGAGAAGACCUCAUACAGUAUGCUACCAGACUAACACUGGACCCAAACACAGCCUACCGUCACUUCAGUUUGAGCGAGAAUAACACUAAGUUGUCAUGGAGUAAUACAUGUUGCCAAUUUGACCACUAUGACCAUCCGCAAAGAUUUGUGGGAUGCCGCCAGGUAUUCUGUGAACAGCGCCUGUAUGGUCGUUGCUACUGGGAAGUUGAAUGGUCUACGCGGUAUAAGACUUCUAUGGCAGUGUCCUACUUAAGCAUUGGACGGAAAGACACAGAUGACAAGAACAGGUUUGGUUAUAAUGAUCAGUCUUGGAGUUUGGAUUGCUACCCCUCAGGAUAUGAAUUCAGACACAAUAACAAUGUGACCAAAAUUCAGAGAGGAUGCCAAUCAAGCAGAUUGGCUGUGGAUGUGGAUGUUGAGGGAGGCACUCUGUCUUACUAUGAGGUUUCCAGGUCUGGCAUUCUCACUACCCUCCACAAGCACAAGACCAAGUUCCUGAAGCCUGUCUACGUAGGCUUUUUUGGGGAUGCAUAUACAUAUUUAACAAUUUGCUCCUUGAAGUAACAUGGUGAGAAAUUUAAGCAGCUGUUUACACCGUUAUGUACAUAGCUAUGAAGGGAAGUACCCUGGGCUAAUACAAUUUUGUGUCAUGUAGAUUUACAAGAAGUUAUAUUACACCAUAAUGUAUCUUACACUAUAAUGUAUAAGUGUUAAAUCGCAGAAAAAUGAUUCUAUAGUGAUAUCUUCCAGCAACAUGAUAUUAAUAGCACUAAAAUGUAACAAAUAAUUGCAGUUCCUAUUGUGAGGUGUAAUUACACUAUAAAAUGUGUCUUGUGCUUAAAUUCCAAUGUCAUGACUACAUAAAUAAAUGCAAUAAUGAUUUUCUCUUAA